rnacentral:rRNA from 1 species
AGGAUGAACGCUGGCGGCGUGCUUAACACAUGCAAGUCGAACGGUGAAAGAGGAGCUUGCUCCUCUGGAUCAGUGGCGAACGGGUGAGUAACACGUGAGUAACCUGCCCCAGACUCUGGGAUAAGCGUUGGAAACGACGUCUAAUACCGGAUACGAGCUUCAGCCGCAUGGCUAGGAGCUGGAAAGAAUUUCGGUCUGGGAUGGACUCGCGGCCUAUCAGGUAGUUGGUGAGGUAACGGCCCACCAAGCCUACGACGGGUAGCCGGCCUGAGAGGGUGACCGGCCACACUGGGACUGAGACACGGCCCAGACUCCUACGGGAGGCAGCAGUGGGGAAUAUUGCACAAUGGGCGCAAGCCUGAUGCAGCAACGCCGCGUGAGGGACGACGGCCUUCGGGUUGUAAACCUCUUUAGUAGGGAAGAAGCGAAAGUGACGGUACCUGCAGAAAAGCACCGGCUAACUACGCGCCAGCAGCCGCGGU